UUUGAGGUAUUUAUCAAUCCACCAACUGAAACGAAUUAAGCUCCUAUAGUUAUUUAUAAAUAUAUUAAAAAAUAAUAAUUCCAAAAAUGAAAACAUUUAUUGCAAUUGUUUUCCUUCUUGUGGUCUUUGCAGUGGCUGCAAGUGGUCUCAACAUUGGCAUAAUGAGUUGCACUAUUCAGCAGUGCACGGAUCUGUGCAACCAGGUUUUCCCCGGUCGCCGCUGUGUCGGACUAUGCCUAUCUCCCACAGAAUGCCAGUGCACCUGCAUUGGAUAAGAUUCUUCCCCUAUGAGUGGAGAAGAGAUCGUGGAGAUAAAGCCUUCAAACAAAUUGGCUGCAAAUUUUCUUUAAACUUUAUGAAAUUGUAAUUGAAUAACCUUUAACGGAGUUUUAAUAAUUCGACAAUUAAAUGCUUUAUUUAAGAUAACUAAC